rnacentral:misc_RNA from 1 species
UUUCCGUAGGUGAACCUGCGGAAGGAUCAUUAUUGCGAGUGGAAAGUGAGUCGGGGGGCGUUUAAGCCACCGAGUCAUAAUACAAGGACGUUUGGAGGGUUGUGGGGGAGAGGAUGGGAUGGAAUGGAGGGUGGAUCAAGUGAUUGUUUCACUUUCUUAAUCCUUGAUCCUCUUCUCCCAGCCCCCUGAACAAACACCGACGCGUUUCAAGUGUGCCAGUCUAAAAAGGUAUAAAGAGAAAACAACUUUUAACAAUGGAUCUCUUGGCUCUU